AAAAAAAAAAAAAAAAAAGAAUCAAAGCUUUAAAAUCCAGCAGAAGUAAAAUUUCCAAGUGGGAGGGAAGAGGAUCAACAGGAGAAUCUGCAAGAGUAAAAGAGGAAGAAGAUGUGUGCUGCAUGGCACAAAAUGAAUCUGCAAAGCAUCUGGGAACUGCAGACCCUACUGAUGCCUGGAACUCACUGGAGUCAGCAUGUCCAGGCAGUCAUUGUAGCAAGUCAGAGUGGUGUGAUGAAAUGCUUCAGGAGAAAAACAUUUCACCACAGCCUGGUUCACUCAGAUACCUUGCCAGGGAACCAACAUCUCACUCGGGCCUCUGAUAUUGUAACUGUGGGCCUUUAAGAAACAACGGAAAACCCAACUGAAUAAAAACUGACCUCCUUUGUGGCUGCCCUGAUGGAAGGGGCUCAGGAGCAACAGCCUUCAUGGUGCCCACCCUCUGGGCCAGAACAACGGAUGCCCCACAACUGAGUUUAGUGCCUCCAAGAACCACAGCUUUUUUUUGCAGCAGUAAGAGCAUACCUCUGAGGCACUGUGAAGAAUCUGAUAGUCGAACUGAAUGAAGCCAAGUCCAGUCUUUACGGAAAAAUUUACACAACACUUCCAGAUGAUAUCUGCAUACCAGCUGGGGAUAGAAUGUAAUCCGUCCUGCAGAAGUUAAACCAUGUGUCAUGUGAAGAGCAGGAGAUGAUUUCAGAGUUCGUGAUAUUUGUGCUAGAGCCAGUCAUUGGAGUCAGUUCAAGUUUGGAGAAAAUUUUCUUCCAAAUUAACAAGAGAGAAGGAAGAAGGAGAGAAGAAGAAAGAGGAAGGAAGAAAGGA
rnacentral:lncRNA from 1 species